UACGUAGGGUGCAAGCGUUAAUCGGAAUUACUGGGCGUAAAGCGUGCGCAGGCGGUUUUGUAAGUCUGUCGUGAAAUCCCCGGGCUCAACCUGGGAAUUGCGAUGGAGACUGCAAGGCUAGAAUCUGGCAGAGGGGGGUAGAAUUCCACGUGUAGCAGUGAAAUGCGUAGAGAUGUGGAGGAACACCGAUGGCGAAGGCAGCCCCCUGGGUCAAGACUGACGCUCAUGCACGAAGCGUGGGAGCAAACGAGG
rnacentral:rRNA from 1 species